AACGAACGCUGGCGGCAGGCCUAACACAUGCAAGUCGAACGCUCUAGCAAUAGAGAGUGGCAGACGGGUGAGUAACGCGUGGGAACCUUCCCUAUGGUUCGGAAUAACUCGCCGAAAGGCGUGCUAAUACCGGGUAAGCCCGCAAGGGGAAGAUUUAUCGCCAUAGGAUGGCCCGCGUAGGAUUAGCUAGUUGGUGAGGUAAUGGCCUACCAAGGCAACGACGGAUAGGGGACCUGAGAGGG
rnacentral:rRNA from 1 species